rnacentral:rRNA from 1 species
AAGUUUUCGGAUGGAUUUAAAGCAGCUUAGUGGCGGACGGGUGAGUAACGCGUGGGUAACCUGCCUCACACUGGGGGAUAACAGUUAGAAAUAGCUGCUAAUACCGCAUAAGCGCACAGUUCCGCAUGGAACAGUGUGAAAAACUCCGGUGGUGUGAGAUGGACCCGCGUCUGAUUAGCCAGUUGGCGGGGUAACGGCCCACCAAAGCGACGAUCAGUAGCCGGCCUGAGAGGGUGAACGGCCACAUUGGGACUGAGACACGGCCCAAACUCCUACGGGAGGCAGCAGUGGGGAAUAUUGCACAAUGGGGGAAACCCUGAUGCAGCGACGCCGCGUGAGUGAAGAAGUAUUUCGGUAUGUAAAGCUCUAUCAGCAGGGAAGAAAGUGACGGUACCUGAAUAAGAAGCCCCGGCUAACUACGUGCCAGCAGCCGCGGUAAUACGUAGGGGGCAAGCGUUAUCCGGAUUUACUGGGUGUAAAGGGAGCGUAGACGGCAAGGCAAGUCUGAAGUGAAAGCCCGGUGCUUAACGCCGGGACUGCUUUGGAAACUGUUUGGCUGGAGUGCCGGAGAGGUAAG